GCAGGACACGGCUCCCGGUGCGCGGCCGGGGGUGUUACUUAGUCCCUGAUACGCCCGGGAGGAUGGGGCGAGGUGAGGGCAUCUUCCUCGCAGCUUGGUUCUCGCUCUUAACGUCACCGUCCUGGCUUGUACAGCUUGAAGCCCAAUAAGUUCUCUUGGAAGAGGUCGUUUCUGAGGAGCAGGCAGAGGCAGGGCUUCGCGCAUCGCUGGGCAGUCGGCUCCCUCCAGCCGUGCAGGCGGAUUUCUCCCGGCUUGUGCUCCGGCAGCUAUGCGCCAGGCAGGCUCAGCUCCGAGGCAGAGCCGCGGCCAAGUGGAGGGGAGCUGCGCCUUCCUCUGGGGUCAGGGAGCAGGGGAUGCCAGCUCAGCUCCAGGAUCUUGGACAGCAGUAUGUCUCAGCUAUGGCACUGCCACCCCUGGCAGGAGCAUCUUGCCYACCCUGCUACUCUGCCCCUUUUGGGGAGGGGAAGCUGGAUGGAGGUCUGCAACAGGUGGGGAUCAGGAAAGCAGAGACUCCAAUACAAUUUUUGCAACAUGA
rnacentral:lncRNA from 1 species